rnacentral:lncRNA from 1 species
UCAGCCAUUGCCGUAAUUAGAAAGGAACAUCACAUCAUAUCCAUGGCAUUUGCUACCCUUUGUAUAAACAGGGCAAGGCCUGAACCGAGAUGUCCUGAAGAUUUACAGAUGGGUUCAAACACUUUCAUUGCAAUUUGUAGUUCAUUGUGUUUGAAGCAACACCCAGCUGACUGCAAAGUAAAGGAUGUACUCCACCAUCAGAAGAGCUGCAAAUUUUCAUUGAAGUUGCCACAGGAUACACCAUCAAGCUGGAUUUAGAAAAGACAGAGGAACCAUAGAUCAAAUUGCCAACAUCUGCUGCAUCAUCGAAAAAGCAAGAGAGUCCCCCCAAAAAAUCUACUUCUGCCUUACUGACUAUGCCAAAGCCUUUGACUGUGUGGAUCACAGUAAAC